CCCGAACCCCCUGGUCCCUCUGCUCCGCCCUCGGGACACCCCCCUGAACUCCCUGGUCUCUCUGCUCCGCUCUUGGGACACCCCCCUGAACUCCCUGGUCCAGCAGCUCUGCCAUCCAGCAUCCCGUCUGGCCCUGUUCCCUCAGUUCUGCCCUGCCUGUUCGCCUGACCCUUCCCAGCUCUGUCCCCCUCUCUGUGUCUCGUUUCUUUUGGACCCUGGACCCCCGCCAACCGGAUCCCCCCCCCCCACGGACUUCUUCCCAGCCAACUGGGAGGUCCGCCUGGAGGCGUCCAUUGAGGAGGGGGCCCUGUUGUGGUGGCAGCCCGGCUGACGGUGAGUGUCCUGGUUAUUUCUCCUGUUUUAUCUGUGAUUCUGUUGUCCCUGGAGUUUUCCUGUACUCUGCCUGUCUCCCUGUGUCUCCUCCCCUGCGUGUGCUCUCCCUCUCUCUCUCUCUCCCUCCACUCCUGAGCCCAGCUAACGACCUGCACCUGCACCUCAUCAGCCACCUCCUCUGCCUGCCACACCUGCCAGCAAUCAGCCUCAUCUCCAACAGUACUUCUGCCCUGGUUCUCCACUGCAUUGCUGCUUGAUCGUCGUUGCUCCUAACCCGGUUCACUCACCCUCGUCCUCUGUCAAGUCGGCUGGGCUCGCUCACCUGCCCUCUCCCCUCGGACUUUCCCCACGGCAUCCUCCCAGUUCUCCCGUGCCUCGUUUCUUCCUCAGCCCCCGGUGCCCCCUGGCCCUCUGGUCUCAGUCUCCUCGGUUACCCGUGCCUGCGUCUCCCCGGCUUCCACCUCUCCCCUCAACUUCAGUCCCUCAACCCCUUCUUUCCCCUAAAUAAAUUAAUAUCCACAA